UUUUGGUCCCCAGAGGCAAAAGCGUCCCCAAUGAACGGGUGUGUCAGCUGAUAUAAGUCCCCAAUUUUGACACAAGUAAACACACAGACGCACACACAGAUAAGCAAACACUGAAAACGCCCCCCAAAAAACAGGAGGUUGGAAAGAAAACGACUGAAGCGCCGUGAAGACGUUUCACCUCUCACCCAAGAGACUUCUUCAGUGCGGCGUUAUCAUGAAGCCCUUCGAGCCUGCAUAAAACCAGGCUCAAAGAAAUGACGCUUUAACAGCAUCCAACGACACCCCCACCCCACCCCAUCCAAAUUGGUACCCAGGUUGCUAUGGCAACCAUAAGUGGCAGUGCUGAUGUCAGAAACUCCUCCAAGGACAGUCAUG